AACGAACGCUGGCGGCAUGCCUAACACAUGCAAGUCGAACGAGACCUUCGGGUCUAGUGGCGCACGGGUGCGUAACGCGUGGGAAUCUGCCCUUGGGUUCGGAAUAACAGUUAGAAAUGACUGCUAAUACCGGAUAAUGUCUUCGGACCAAAGAUUUAUCGCCCAGGGAUGAGCCCGCGUAGGAUUAGCUAGUUGGUGAGGUAAAGGCUCACCAAGGCGACGAUCCUUAGCUGGUCUGAGAGGAUGAUCAGCCACACUGGGACUGAGACACGGCCCAGACUCCUACGGGAGGCAGCAGUGGGGAAUAUUGGACAAUGGGCGAAAGCCUGAUCCAGCAAUGCCGCGUGAGUGAUGAAGGCCUUAGGGUUGUAAAGCUCUUUUACCCGGGAUGAUAAUGACAGUACCGGGAGAAUAAGCCCCGGCUAAACUCCGUGCCAGCAGCCGCGGUAAU
rnacentral:rRNA from 1 species